CAGCAGAAGUUAGUUGGAGAUGCCUGAGUUGUUGGGAUUCAUGGAGGCAGCCAGAAGAAGAUGAUAGCAGAGUGAGAAGGCAGUAGAGGAAGAGGACUGGGUAAAGAAAAGGGAGACCUGAGUUGCAGAUAGAGUGGCUUGGUGGCCAAAUACUUGCUGGGGUAGCUGGAUCACUGGGCUUGGGCUGAGGAGACAAGGGAAAGAAUCUGUCUGCAGCACUGAGGGGAGAAGAGAGAAGCAACUUUGAAUGCUGGUCUACAGUGACUGGUAGGAGUACCAGAGGGAAGAUUUCCAGGGCAAUGAAGGCAAACCUAUGUUUUAAUAGGAGUUCAUUGAAUGGGUUCCUGGCCCACCGAACAGGAUGUUCUGAGAUGAGAUACCUACCUGGAUCACAUGCUAUGCAGACAGAUGGAUCGCUGCUUCCUGUGUUUGCAUUGGCAGGGAAGACAGGUGGCUUGCCUCUGUAAAGGAUUAUACGACCCUUCCGGGCAAGGCAAAGGAUUGGCUGUGCCCUGAGGGCAAAAAUAGCCUGGAAAAGAAGCAAAAGUGUGAAAUCAGGAAUGCCCCUUUGAGGCCAGAGGGGGGGAAAGCACAGCAAGGCAACCUAAAAUCAACAGCAACUCUAAAAACAGCUCACAUAAGAACAUAAGAAAAGGCCUUUGGGAUCAGACCAAUGGCCCAUCUUGUCCAGCAUCCUGUUCUCACAGUGGCCAACCUGAUGUCUGU